AGCAGAGAGCGUCACAGCGUCGUGCUGAAAGAUGCCUCUCAAAGUUCAAACGACAUCUGAAGCUCUUCAAAAUGAAUGGCAUGGUGUGCCAUCACCAUGUUAGACUUUUCAGCCUCCUGCUCGGGUGGAAAAGCUGCAGUUGAUGCACAGGGUGUGAUCCAGCUAUGUGAGUAAAAACACGAGUAAAAAACUGUGUUUUUUUAUCCAUAUCUGCAAUUUGUAGUGUGAAAAUUGAAAUUAACCCAGUCUGAAUUGGCAUCCCCGUCAUUUAGGGUCAUUUCUUUAAACUUGAAUCUGUGUCUUCUUCUUUCUUCUUCCUUUCUCUGGUCAAAAACGAUGAACAGGGUCUGUCAUUUUAGGUGUAAUUGGUUAGCUCCCUCUGUAGUGCUAACAGCAGGUGUGCACUCAAGUGACAUUGCUUGUAAAAUGGGCACCAUGUUGCCCUUUGUGUGUACUUGUUUAUUUAACUGACCCGACAUUGAACACCUCACAGUGUUAAAAGCUUUUUCCUGCUGAUGUCAACAUGGAUUUUAACACCAAAUUUAACACUGGAUCUUGAUUUUUAACUAACAGGACUUCCUCUACAGUCUGGCUGUGUUUGGGUGAAGAGGAGGAUGGCGGCCCUGCAGCAGCAGCAGACUUGUUUAAAGCUACAGACGGUCAAAG